CGCCUCUUGAAUUAAUAUAAGAGGUCCAGCCUGCCCAGUGACCCUGUUCAACGGCCGCGGUAUCCUAACCGUGCGAAGGUAGCGUAAUCACUUGUUCUUUAAAUGAGGACUAGUAUGAACGGCAUCACGAAGGUUAUACUGUCUCCUUUUUCUAAUCAGUGAACCUAAUCUCCCCGUGAAGAAGCGGGAAUAUAACUAUAAGACGAGAAGACCCUAUGGAGCUUAAAACAACACAGCACUUGCUAAAAAACUAAGCAUUCCCGAAUUUUUACUUUCUAGGCAACAUGACUGUAAGUUUUUGGUUGGGGUGACCACGGAGUACAAUAUAACCUCCAUGUUGAAAGAAUUUUUUUCUAAGCCAAAAAUUACACUUUUAAGCAUCAAUAAAUUGACAUCUAUUGACCCAAUAUAUUUGAACAACGAACCAAGUUACCCUAGGGAUAACAGCGCAAUCCACUUCAAGAGCUCCUAUCGACAAGUGGGUUUACGACCUCGAUGUUGGAUCAGGGUUUCCCAGUGGUGCAGCCGCUACUAAAGGUUCGUUUGUUCAACGAUUAAAACCCU
rnacentral:rRNA from 1 species